AAGACAAAAUCAAAUAAUAAAGCAUAGGUACUCCCACAAAAGUAACGUAAAUAGUUAUGAAAACAUAAGCAACAUAAAUACAGUCGCAUGCAGUAAUACCAAGCAGAAACUACCAUACUAAAACACUAAUCACCUAAGAGCCCCUAACCUACAAUCUUGAUUCUAGACCUCCAGACUCCCCUAUCAAGAGUCAUGUCCUCGGUAACCUGCAUUCUGGCCAUGUCAUGCCUAAUCACCUCUCCCGAAUGCUUCUUAG
rnacentral:lncRNA from 1 species